CCUACGGGUGGCAGCAGUGGGGAAUAUUGCACAAUGGGGGAAACCCUGAUGCAGCGACGCCGCGUGAGUGAAGAAGUAUUUCGGUAUGUAAAGCUCUAUCAGCAGGGAAGAAAAUGACGGUACCUGAUUAAGAAGCCCCGGCUAACGACGUGCCAGCAGCCGCGGUAAUACGUAGGGCGCACGCGUUAUCCGGAUUUACUGGGUGUAAAGGGAGCGUAGACGGCAGCACAAGUCUGGAGGGAAAUGCCGGGGCUUCACCCCGGAACGGCUUUGGAAACUGGGCCGCUAGAGUGCAGGCGAGGUAAGUCGCCUUCCUAGUGUAGCGGUGAAAUGCGUCGAUAUUAGGAGGAACACCAGUGGCGAAGGCGGCUUACUGGACUGUACCUGACGUUGCGGCUCG
rnacentral:rRNA from 1 species